rnacentral:lncRNA from 1 species
CUUCUUUCUUCCACCCUUCUGUGCAUCUCUAGCAUCAUUUGGCUUCCUAAGUGAACUUACUUGAUGUCUUGAUUUCCCUUUGCUGCUAUUCUUUCAUUCUCUGGACAAAAAUAGAAAUCUUGCUAAGAUCCUACCAUCAUAACAUGCCUCCAUGCUUCCAUGCCUCAAUGCAGGAUACCCAGCAUCAUGGCAGGACAGGGUGGAAAUGUCUAGAAGGCUCUUCCUGCACUGCAGGCACACGAGGAUGGCUGGGUUUUGCCCGUACUGCUGCAGUCCUUUGCCAGCCUCCCACUUACUGAAAUCUGCAGCGGUGAAGUGUCUCACGACUCUGAAGUUGUCCAUUCCUAGGACAUUCUUGCGGCUUUUCAGCGAGCUCGGAGGAGCACAGAGUUGUCAGCAGGAUAUUACAGUGAUGGAUGAUUUAGAAAACUCCAAGGCUGAUCAGUUUAAUGGAGUCAUGCUAAGGUGCAGCAGGCAUGGGGAGCCUGUACCAUUCCAGCAACAAACAGAAAUUCUCAAAGGACACCAUCACAGAGCUCAGAAUCCACAACCUUAUAGACUGGUACCACUUCCAUCUUUUUCUGUCUCUGAUUCCUGCAAUCAUUAUGUUUAUCCAAAUGGAUUGCCCAAACUGGAAACAAAAAUCAAAAACAAAACCCCCAAGGUGCUCUAGCCCA